GCGCGGCCACGUCCUCGCAGCGGAAGGAGAGGUCGCCGUGCAGAGUGACCCCAGGGACACGCCUCUCCGCCAGGGCUGUGGGCGGCAGCCAAGCGGAUGUGGAGAACAGCGUGGCGGUGAGGUGAGGGGCUGAAGAGGGGCCGUUAGUCGAUGUCAGUGACGCCAGGCAGAAAACUAAUGGCUACUCCAUCCAUGAACAGCGCUGUGCUUCGGGAAGAGGGAUUUCUCAGGACGGAUGUGGUGGACCUCUGUGAGAGAUGUGCCGCUGCUGCGACCACUGGAUUGCUGACCUGCGAGCUGCCAUGCUCUGCUGCCUGGAGUCUGGAUUGAGUAACGUUAGAAGCAAGUUUGAACAACUCUGACGACAGCGAUCUCACUAAACAACAAACGGUCGCUGUCAAACAGUCGCCGUUUGCUGAUCUGUAGGAUCACCUACGACUUCAGACUGUUCAUCUGACUAUCCUCAUCCACAAGUGUUAAAAAUUUAGGAGUUACAAUUGACCAAGA